UCGAGAAUCUUCGGCAAUGGGCGAAAGCCUGACCGAGCAAUGCCGCGUGCGGGAUGAAGGCCCUCGGGUUGUAAACCGCUGUCGUAGGGGAGAAAGGUCUCAUGAAGAAUGAGAUUUGAUCUAUCCUAGGAGGAAGUCCGGGCUAAGUUCGUGCCAGCAGCCGCGGUAACACGAACCGGACAAACGUUAUUCGGAAUUAUUGGGCUUAAAGGGUGCGUAGGCGGUGCGGUAAGUGAGGUGUGAAAGCCCUCGGCUCAACCGAGGAAUUGCGCUUCAUACUGCCGUGCUGGAGGGAGACAGUGGUAAGCGGAACUGAUGGUGGAGCGGUGAAAUGCGUUGAUAUCAUCAGGAACACCGGUGGCGAAAGCGGCUUACUGGGUCUCUUCUGACGCUGAGGCACGAAAGCUAGGGUAGCGAACGG
rnacentral:rRNA from 1 species